UACGUAGGGUGCGAGCGUUAAUCGGAAUUACUGGGCGUAAAGCGUGCGCAGGCGGUUUUGUAAGCCGGAUGUGAAAUCCCCGGGCUUAACCUGGGAAUGGCAUUCGGGACUGCAAGGCUGGAGUGCGGCAGAGGAGACUGGAAUUCCUGGUGUAGCAGUGAAAUGCGUAGAUAUCAGGAGGAAUACCGAUGGCGAAGGCAGGUCUCUGGGCUGACACUGACGCUCAUGCACGAAAGCGUGGGGAGCAAACAGG
rnacentral:rRNA from 1 species